UGCCAGCCGCCGCUGUAAUCCUUAUUUGGCAAUCGUUAUCCGGAAUUAUUGGGCGUAAAGCGCGCGUAGGCGGUUUUUUAAGUCUGAUGUGAAAGCCCACGGCUCAACCGUGGUGGGUCAUUGGAAGCUGGAAAACUUGAGUGCAGAAGAGGAAAGUGGAAUUCCAUGUGUAGCGGUGAAAUGCGCAGAGAUAUGGAGGAACACCAGUGGCGAAGGCGACUUUCUGGUCUGUAACUGACGCUGAUGUGCGAAAGCGUGGGGAUCAAACAGGAUUAGAUA
rnacentral:rRNA from 1 species